GAGUACACGUGGACAAUCUGCCCCCGGCCGGGAUAGCCCAGGGAAACCUGGAUUAAUACCGGAUGAGACGGGACCCGCGAUGGCGGGACCCGGGAAAGGCGCUGCGGCGCCGCCGGGGGAUGAGUCUGCGUCCCAUUAGCUAGACGGCGGGGUAAGGCCCACCGUGGCGACGAUGGGUAGCCGGCCUGAGAGGGUGACGGCCACAUUGGAACUGAGACACGGUCCAGACUCCUACGGGAGGCAGCAGCUAAGAAUCUUCCGCAAUGGGCGAAAGCCUGACGGAGCGACGCCCGCGUGAACGAAGAAGGCCGUGAGGUUGUAAAGUUCUUUUCGGGAGGGGGAACAACCGUGGCAGGGAAUGGCCGCGGGAUGACGUGAAUCCCGGAAUAAGCCCCCGGCUAACUACGUGCCAGCAGCUGC
rnacentral:rRNA from 1 species